UGGUUAGACCCUUCUUAAAAGCUGGUUUGGAUAUACAACACAGUACCCCAUGUACUGCAGGCAGAAAGACCUUUAAGUCUAAUAUAGGAUUUAUCUCUCUUUAGAACUUGGGAGACGGUAAAGAGGCAUGAAGAAGAGAGGUGGGAAAAUGUCUUAGAGCCAAGGGAGAUAUAAUAUCAAGAUAAAAGAAUGACUGAUGAUGUCAAGUAUUAAAUAGAGAUUAUGGGAAAAUCCAUGGCAUUAGUGUAAACAGAACUUUUGUAGAAGUUAUUUUCAGUCAAGAUGUGGCAGAGAGAACCAGGGUUACCCGAGGAUUGUAAAGUGAGCCCGGAAGUCACCCAAGCUGGAAAGAGAAGACAUAGUCCCGUGUGGGAGAAGGAGAUAUGAGCCAAGGAGCUGCAGGGAUUACCGCCAGCACCAGAAACCACAGGCUCCAGGAGAAAGCAAGCUUUCCUGAUAUCUUGCUUCAAAACUGUGAGCCAAGAAAUUCCUGAUUUUUAAGCCAACGCAUUGUGUGGUAUUUUUCAUAGUAGCCUGGCAAACUAAGACAAUUUGUUUGUCUCCCUCAGUAGGGAUAUUGAAACUUCCAUGAUAAAAGAAGAGAACCAACUGAAAAAAGUCACAUUUUGCCCUGGCCCAUCUCUCCCCCUUCUACACCCACCACCACAUUUGAAUGCAGUUAUGAGAUCCGGAGCUGUGGCAACCAUCUUGAAGCCAUGAGGUGACAAAGACAAAAAUGGAGAAAUGUGAGAGAAAGAGCCACUCCAAGGUUUCCUUGGGUACUAGGUUGCCUAUCUCUAGACUUCAUGCUAUCAGAGAAAAUUAACUGUCACUUUUGCUAACUCUGUACUCUUUAGUCACUCUUUCUGUUAUUUG